GGGUCAGUAGGUUGGUCGUGCCACCGGUACGUACUGGUCUCACUGAUUCCUCCUUCCUGAAGAACCGUAAUGCCAUUAAUUUGGUGUUGCGGGGAAACAGGACUGUUACUUUGAAAAAAUUAGAGUGUUUAAAGCAAGCUAACGCUUGAAUACAUUAGCAUAGAAUAAUGAAAUAGGACGAUCGAUCCUAUUUUGUUGGUUUCUAGGAUUGACGUAAUGAUUAAGGGAUAGUUGGG
rnacentral:rRNA from 1 species